rnacentral:lncRNA from 1 species
UGGGCAAGGACUGGCAUCGGCCCUGCCUGAAGUGCGAGAAAUGUGGGAAGACGCUGACCUCUGGGGGCCACGCUGAGGUAGGUGGGACCCACCCUGGUGGCAGGGGCCAGGGGUGAUGGCACCCCCUCACGGCCCUUCUCUUUGCAGCACGAAGGCAAACCCUACUGCAACCACCCCUGCUACGCAGCCAUGUUUGGGCCUAAAGGCUUUGGGCGGGGCGGAGCCGAGAGCCACACUUUCAAGUAAACCAGCCCUGCCAGGAGCCCGGAAGUGGGUCCGCACGAGACAGAAUAGACUACACUCAAACUCCAGGGGAACCGUUCAUUGGGCUUGGACACGAAGGCGGGACCCUGCCGACGCAGUGAUUGGAUGCAUGUCCGGCCAGCGCGGUGAUUGGACCUCCGCGCUCUGGCAGCUCCUCUUCCGUGUGCUCUC